rnacentral:rRNA from 1 species
CAUCCUUGAUCGGAAGGUCCGGGUAAUCUUUUGAAACUUCAUCGUGCUGGGGAUAGUCCCUUGCAAUUUUUGGACUUUAACGAGGAAUUCCUAGUAAGCGUGAGUCAUCAACUCGCGUUGAUUACGUCCCUGCCCUUUGUACACACCGCCCGUCGCUACUACCGAUUGAAUGGCUUAGUGAAUCCUUCGGAUUGGCUUUCUUUUCUGGCAACAGAAUUUGAUCGCUGAAAAGUUGGGCAAACUUGGUCAUUUAGAGGAAGUAAAAGUCGUAACAAGGUUUCCGUAGGUGAACCUGCGGAAGGAUCAUUAAAAAAUGAGACCUCUUUUGAAGGUCUAUUAAUAAUCCUACCCUUUGUGAAUUUGUUGUUUGAAAUAAUUUUUUUUCCAAAAAAAUUAUUGAAUGUCUUUCCCUGUUUGGUGGAGCUUGUAAAAGUGAAACCAUCAGGGGAAUGGCAAACAAUAAUUAUUUUGAAAAAAGACCUUUUUUUAAAAUUAAACUUUUAUGUAUUCAUUUGUCUAAAAUUAUUUUUAUAAUAUAAAAACAACUUUUGACAAUGGAUCUCUUGGUUCUCGCAACGAUGAAGAACGCAGCAAAAUGCGAUAAGUAGUGUGAAUUGCAGAAUACGUGAAUCAUCGAAUCUUCGAACGCAUAUUGCAC